rnacentral:rRNA from 1 species
UACGAAGGGGGGCUAGCGUUGCUCGGAAUCACUGGGCGUAAAGCGCACGUAGGCGGAUUGUUAAGUCAGGGGGUGAAAUCCUGGAGCUCAACUCCAGAACUGCCUUUGAUACUGGCGAUCUCGAGUCCGGGAGAGGUGAGUGGAACUGCGAGUGUAGAGGUGAAAUUCGUAGAUAUUAGGAAGAACACCAGUGGCGAAGGCGGCUCACUGGCCCGGUACUGACGCUGAGGAGCGAAAGCGUGGGGAGCAAACAGG